rnacentral:rRNA from 1 species
CAGCCGCCGCGGUAAUACGAAGGGGGCUAGCGUUGCUCGGAAUGACUGGGCGUAAAGGGCGCGUAGGCGGCGUGGUAAGUCAGAUGUGAAAUCCCGGGGCUCAACCCCGGAACUGCAUCCGAUACUGCCAUGCUAGAGGAUUGGAGAGGUAGCUGGAAUUCUUGGUGUAGCAGUGAAAUGCGUGGAGAUCAAGAGGAACACUCGUGGCGAAAGCGAGCUACUGGACAAUAACUGACGCUGAGGCUCGAAGGCCAGGGUAGCGAAAGGGAUUAGAUACCCCGGUAGUCCCUGUCUCUUAUAC